AGAGAUGCAUUGGGUUUAAAGUGUGCGCAGGCGGUUUUGUAAGACAGAGGUGAAAUCCCCGGGCUCAACCUGGGAACUGCCUUUGUGACUGCAAGGCUGGAGUGCGGCAGAGGGGGAUGGAAUUCCGCGUGAAGCAGUGAAAUGCGUAGAUAUGCGGAGGAACACCGAUGGCGAAGGCAAUCCCCUGGGCCUGCACUGACGCUCAUGCACGAAAGCGUGGGGAGCAAACA
rnacentral:rRNA from 1 species